UUAUUGUAACGUCGUGGAUUUUAAUUUUGGGUGGUCAAAUUUGGAAUCUCUAGGUUUGUUUCGAAAGGCAGCGACAUCGAUGAAUGUCGUAGAGAUUACGAGGUUCGCUGCUAGAUGGCGCUUAUAUUAAAGUGCUCAGACAAAUAAAUAUGGACAAGUAGUUGGAGCUUUAUAAUCUGUAUAUAGACUUAAUAUAUGGUUAGAGGUAUUCCACAAGUAACGAAAGGUAUGGAAUCCGAAACCGACUUUAAAAACAAAUGUCACAUAUUAUCUGUGCAAUUUGUUGAUUGUACUCUGUAAGAAAGAUGAAUCGGUAACUUUAUAGCUUUGCUAUUGGUGAGGUUUUUUUAUGAAGAAAGUCCCGUUAUCUUCUCGUUAUAUACUCGGGCACGUUCGAGUUUUUUCUUUUGGCUGGCUGAAAUUUGGAGACAUGUAGUUGACUUUCCAAAACAUUAAAUUUACUUAGAGGCAGUGAUGUAAGAUACUUGGUAAGACUCGAAUUUAUAUUUGGUUAGCAUUCGUGAUUAUCGAAUUUUGUUGUGCUAAAGAGACAAAUUCUUGCAGUUCCGGUCAACCAUAAAAAUUUCCCGUGAGAUGUUAAGAUGGCUACCUACUGGGAACUAGGGCGGGAUAUCCUUUUAAGGAUGGGAAUGUAAUAUAUUCUGAACUUAACCUAACCUAUAUACGUGACCUAAUGUAAUCACACUUCUUCUUAAUACAACCACGUUAUUAUGUAGAAACGUAGAUUGGUUGUAGACAUUUGAAACGCCGGUUCUGAAACCUUUGGUCAUUCUUGGAACAUUUUUAUGGAACCUGAGUUGACUAUUACAUUUAAUCAUUUGCACGCGUCGAGUAGCAUGCUGUUAGCGGCGUAAAUCUUGGAGGUUCGCUGGCCGCCAGACAAAAUGACGGACGGAUGAAUGCAACAGCAAGGUCAGCGACCGCGUGGUGUCAGCUUCCAUCAUAAACGUCAGGUCGUACCUAUUCUUUCUUUUGUUAAAUGGAGUCAUGCUAAAACUUCUAUUUUUAUAUAUUGUUUUUUUAAAAGGAUGCGUUACAUUAAUUGUUGGUGGUGAUUCGGAUAUACCGUUCAGAUUACAAUAAGAUUUAGAGAUAACUAGACCUCUUUCGUGAGUGUUUAAAAUGCAACGUGUUUGUUGUCCCUUUAGUAUAAACGUGUGUAAUUGCUAAGCGAACUUAAAUGGAAUCAUCCUUGUGGAUUUGGCUGGUAGCGAUGUGAAUUCAUAACUUCUAGUGCGUUGUUCGACGGACCCACUUUAAAUACCUAGCCGUGGCAGUGGUUUGGUCAACAAAAAUCCAAACGCUAUAUCGACACCAUCUAAUCCCCAAGGAUUGGUAUAAUAAAACAAAUAUUUGAGAUAACCACUGUUUAUUUACAAAGUAUGUGCAAAGUAACUUAACAUUUAGGAAACCUGGUUUUUUUUAUGUAAUUUAACCCAUUAAUAUUUUGUCCUUUUAGGGUUUCUCAAGGGUUUAGCAUUACUUUUAUAUUGUAAAAAAAAGGUUCAUCUAAAAAUAUAGAAGCCAAAUACCGGUGAUUACUGUAAAA